GAGUUUGAUCCUGGCUCAGAACGUACGCUGGCGGCACGCCUAACACAUGCAAGUCGAACGCAGUAGCAAUACUGAGUGGCAAACGGGUGAGUAUAAUGUGGGAAUCUGCCUUUUGGUUUGGAAUAACACGGGGAAACUUGUGCUAAUACCGAAUAAGCCCUUACGGGGAAAGUUUUAAUGCCGAAAGAUGAGCCCGCACUUGAUUAGCUAGUUGGUAAGGUAAAAGCUUACCAAGGCAACGAUCAAUAGCUGUUCUUAGAGGAAGACCAGCCACAUUGGGACUGAGACACGGCCCAGACUCCUACGGGAGGCAGCAGUGGGGAAUCUUGCACAAUGGGGGAAACCCUGAUGCAGCGAUGCCGCGUGAGUGAAGAAGGCCUUUGGGUUGUAAAACUCUUUCGUCGGGGAAGAAAAUGACUGUACCCGAAUAAGAAGGUCCGGCUAACUUCGUGCCAGCAGCCGCGGUAAUACGAAGGGACCUAGCGUAGUUCGGAAUUACUGGGCUUAAAGAGCUCGUAGGUGGUUAAAAUAGUUGAUGGUGAAAUCCCAAGGCUCAACCUUGGAACUGCCAUCAAAACUUUUUAGCUAGAGUGUGAUAGAGGUAAGUGGAAUUUCUAGUGUAGAGGUGAAAUUCGUAGAUAUUAGAAAGAACACCAAAUGCGAAGGCAACUUACUGGGUCACUACUGACACUGAGGAGCGAAAGCAUGGGUAGCGAAGAGGAUUAGAUACCCUCGUAGUCCAUGCCGUAAACGAUGUGUGCUAGACGUUGGAAAUAUAUUUUUCAGUGUCGCAGCGAAAGCAUUAAGCACACCGCCUGGGGAGUACGACCGCAAGGUUAAAACUCAAAUGAAUUUGACGGGGACCCGCACAAGCAGUGGAGCAUGUGGUUUAAUUCGAAGAUACGCGCAGAACCUUACCAACACUUGACAUGUUCGUCGCGAGCCUAGAGAUUNNCUUUCAGUUCGGCUGGACGAAACACAGGUGCUGCAUGGCUGUCGUCAGCUCGUGUCGUGA
rnacentral:rRNA from 1 species